GCCUUUUCUAGAGCCACACCCGUGGCAUAUGGAGGUUCCCAGGCUAGGGGUCCAAUCAGAGCUGUAGCUGCCAGCCUAUGCCACAGGCACAACAACGCAGGAUCCGAGCUGCAUCUGCGACCUAUACCACAGCUCGUGGCAACGCCGGAUCCUUAACCCACUGAGCGAGGCCAGGGAUCGAACCCAAAACCUCACAGUUCCUAGUCGGAUUCGUUAACCACUGAGCCACGACGGGACCUCGGUGUGUUGUAUUUCAUGAAUGGGGGAAUUCACAGAGGCUCCCCUGUGCCAAGCCUGGGGUGGGGGCACCAACACCAAGCGUAGGGAGCGCUGCCCUCAAGGUGCUCCAGAGGAAAUGUCCCUUCUGGUGGCUUCAGAGCCUGUAUGGACUAUUAUUACCCCUAUUCACAGACGGGGACAGCGAGGCUGAGGAGGGGCACCCUGCUUGCUCGAGCUGUCAGUUAGAAGGUGUGGGAGUGGGGACACUGUACUUCUGGGGGGGGGAACAAAGCCCACCUCCCCAGUGCUUUGAUAAAUGCUGGAAACAUGAUCACUGAGCACCUACUGUAUGCCUGCCACUGUUCUAGGCGUCAGGAAUACAGCAGGGGGAGUUCUCCGGUGGCUCAGUGGGUUGAGGAUCUGGCAUUGUCACUGCCAUGGUGUGGGUUCGAUCCCUGGCUGGGGAACUUCUGCAUGCUGCGGGUAUGGCCAGAAAAAAAAAAAAAAGAAUACAGCUGAUGACAAGAAAGUAGGGUCUCUGCCAUUAGGGAGGGAGCUCGCGUCCCAUCCCAGCUCUGCCAUCCACUAUCUGCCAACCUUCUCUUGUUUCCCUCAAGACUUCUCCCUACCAGCCGAGCCCACCCCCACCCCGCUGCCCCCAGGGCCCUACCUGGGGCUGUUCCCCUUGCUAGUGGUCUCUGUCCUGUGCGCUCAUCCCCCCUCCUUCUGAUCUGGAUCCCAGUCUUAGGGUGAGUGAGAGGGUUUUUUUUUUUUUUUUUCCUGUCACUUUAGGGCCGCACCUGCAGCCUGUGGAAGUUCCUAGGCUAUGGUUUGAAUUGGAGAAGCAACUGCUGGCCUACACCAGAGCCACAGCAACACCAGAUCGGAGCUUCAUCCGCGACCUACCCCACAGCUUGUGGCAACACCAGAUGCUUAACCCACUGAGUGAGGCCAGGGAUCGAACCCACAUCAUCUGACUCGUGGAUGCUGGUAGGGUUCUUAACUUACUGGGCUGAAACGGGAACUCCGGGAGGUCCUUUUCCUAGCUCUCACGACCCCCCAAACCAGGUCGGCCAGCUCCACCCCCACAAGCCCCUGAACCCCCA
rnacentral:lncRNA from 1 species